UCAGCCGCCGCGGUAAUACCAGCUCCUCGAGUGGUUAGGGCGUUUAUUGGGCCUAAAGCAUCCGUAGCCGGCUAAGUAGGUCUUCUGUUAAAUCCAACGGCUCAACUGUUGGUCUGCAGGGGAUACCGCUUGGCUAGGAGGCGGGAGAGGCGGACGGUACUCCGAGGGUAGGGGUAAAAUCCUUUGAUCCCCGGAAGACCACCAGUGGCGAAGGCGGUCCGCCAGAACGCGCUCGACGGUGAGGGAUGAAAGCUGGGGGAGCGAACCGGAUUAGAUACCCGGGUAGUCCCAGCCGUAAACGAUGCGAGCUAGGUGACACAAGGCCUUAUGGGCAUUGUGGUGCCGCAGGGAAGCCGUUAAGCUCGCCGCCUGGGGAGUACGGUCGC
rnacentral:rRNA from 1 species